rnacentral:misc_RNA from 1 species
GGACCCCAGGUCGGGCGGGACCACCCGCUGAG